rnacentral:rRNA from 1 species
CCUACGGGUGGCUGCAGUCGAGAAUCUUCGGCAAUGGGCGCAAGCCUGACCGAGCGACGCCGCGUGCGGGAUGAAGGCCCUCGGGUUGUAAACCGCUGUCGAGGGGGAUGAAAUUCUGGUGGGUACUCCCAUCAGAUUGACAGAUCCCUGGAGGAAGGGUGGGCUAAGUUCGUGCCAGCAGCCGCGGUAAGACGAACCACCCAAACGUUAUUCGGAAUUACUGGGCUUAAAGAGUGCGUAGGCGGCCCUGAAAGUAAGGUGUGAAAUCCCACAGC